CUUGCUUUCUUUGCUGGCGACCGGCGCACGGGUGAGUAACACGUAUCCAACCUACCCUUUACUCGGGGAUAGCCUUUCGAAAGAAAGAUUAAUACCCGAUAGCAUAAUGAUUCCGCAUGGUUUCAUUAUUAAAGGAUUCCGGUAAAGGAUGGGGAUGCGUUCCAUUAGGUUGUUGGUGAGGUAACGGCUCACCAAGCCUUCGAUGGAUAGGGGUUCUGAGAGGAAGGUCCCCCACAUUGGAACUGAGACACGGUCCAAACUCCUACGGGAGGCAAGCAUG
rnacentral:rRNA from 1 species